CUCAGCUCAUGAUCCAAUUCAACAAGAAGCAGAAGCUAUUCAAUCUCAAAGGAAUUGUUGGUGGUGAUGUCAAAAUGGCAUAUGCCACAACGACAAAGACCGAAAAGAAGGCGAGAAGAAUUCUUCAAAGGUGCUAUUGAAGUUGUUGAUGUCCGAUUUGCAUCAAAUGAAGAGGGUGACUUCAAGGGAUUUGACCAUGUUGAGGUUUGCCACUGAGGCAACAGCUCACAAGGUAA